UACGAAGGGGGCUAGCGUUGUUCGGAAUUACUGGGCGUAAAGCGCACGUAGGCGGAUAUUUAAGUCAGGGGUGAAAUCCCAGAGCUCAACUCUGGAACUGCCUUUGAUACUGGGUAUCUUGAGUAUGGAAGAGGUAAGUGGAAUUGCGAGUGUAGAGGUGAAAUUCGUAGAUAUUCGCAGGAACACCAGUGGCGAAGGCGGCUUACUGGUCCAUAACUGACGCUGAGGUGCGAAA
rnacentral:rRNA from 1 species